GACGAACGCUGGCGGCGUGCCUAAUACAUGCAAGUCGAGCGAAGUUUUUCUGGUGCUUGCACUAGAAAAACUUAGCGGCGAACGGGUGAGUAACACGUAAAGAACCUGCCUCAUAGACUGGGACAACUAUUGGAAACGAUAGCUAAUACCGGAUAACAGUAUUUCUCGCAUGAGAGAUAUUUAAAAGUUGGUUAUGCUAAAACUAUGAGAUGGCUUUGCGGUGCAUUAGCUAGUUGGUGGGGUAAAGGCCCACCAAGGCGACGAUGCAUAGCCGACCUGAGAGGGUGAUCGGCCACACUGGGACUGAGACACGGCCCAGACUCCUACGGGAGGCAGCAGUAGGGAAUCUUCCGCAAUGGGCGAAAGCCUGACGGAGCAACGCCGCGUGAGUGAAGAAGGAUUUCGGUUCGUAAAGCUCUGUUGUUAGGGAAGAAUGGAUAUGUAGUAACUAUACAUGUAAGAGACGGUACCUAACCAGAAAGCCACGGCUAACUACGUG
rnacentral:rRNA from 1 species